rnacentral:rRNA from 1 species
AGAGUUUGAUCAUGGCUCAGAGUGAACGCUGGCGGCAGGCCUAAUACAUGCAAGUCGAACGGCAGCACAGCAGAGCUUGCUCUGUGGGUGGCGAGUGGCGGACGGGUGAGGAAUACAUGGGAAUCUGCCCAGUCGUGGGGGAUAACGUAGGGAAACUUACGCUAAUACCGCAUGCGCCCUUCGGGGGAAAGCCGGGGACCUUCGGGCCUGGCGCGAUUGGAUAAGCCCAUGUCGGAUUAGCUAGUUGGCGGGGUAAUGGCCCACCAAGGCGACGAUCCGUAGCUGGUCUGAGAGGAUGAUCAGCCACACUGGAACUGAGACACGGUCCAGACUCCUACGGGAGGCAGCAGUAGGGAAUAUUGGACAAUGGGCGCAAGCCUGAUCCAGCCAUGCCGCGUGAGUGAAGAAGGCCCUCGGGUUGUAAAGCUCUUUUGUCCGGAAAGAAAAGCGCCGGGUUAAUACCCUGGUGUCCUGACGGUACCGGAAGAAUAAGCACCGGCUAACUUCGUG